rnacentral:rRNA from 1 species
AGGAUGAACGCUAGCUACAGGCUUAACACAUGCAAGUCGAGGGGCAGCAUGGUCUUAGCUUGCUAAGGCUGAUGGCGACCGGCGCACGGGUGAGUAACACGUAUCCAACCUGCCGUCUACUCUUGGCCAGCCUUCUGAAAGGAAGAUUAAUCCAGGAUGGGAUCAUGAGUUCACAUGUCCGCAUGAUUAAAGGUAUUUUCCGGUAGACGAUGGGGAUGCGUUCCAUUAGAUAGUAGGCGGGGUAACGGCCCACCUAGUCAACGAUGGAUAGGGGUUCUGAGAGGAAGGUCCCCCACAUUGGAACUGAGACACGGUCCAAACUCCUACGGGAGGCAGCAGUGAGGAAUAUUGGUCAAUGGGCGAUGGCCUGAACCAGCCAAGUAGCGUGAAGGAUGACUGCCCUAUGGGUUGUAAACUUCUUUUAUAAAGGAAUAAAGUCGGGUAUGCAUACCCGUUUGCAUGUACUUUAUGAAUAAGGAUCGGCUAACUCCGUGCCAGCAGCCGCGGUAAUACGGAGGAUCCGAGCGUUAUCCGGAUUUAUUGGGUUUAAAGGGAGCGUAGAUGGAUGUUUAAGUCAGUUGUGAAAGUUUGCGGCUCAACCGUAAAAUUGCAGUUGAUACUGGAUGUCUUGAGUGCAGUUGAGGCAGGCGGAAUUCGUGGUGUAGCGGUGAAAUGCUUAGAUAUCACGAAGAACUCCGAUUGCGAAGGCAGCCUGCUAAGCUGCAACUGACAUUGAGGCUCGAAAGUGUGGGUAUCAAACAGGAUUAGAUACCCUGGUAGUCCACACGGUAAACGAUGAAUACUCGCUGUUUGCGAUAUACGGCAAGCGGCCAAGCGAAAGCGUUAAGUAUUCCACCUGGGGAGUACGCCGGCAACGGUGAAACUCAAAAGGAAUUGACGGGGGCCCGCACAAGCGGAGGAACAUGUGGUUUAAUUCG